UGCCAGCAGCCGCGGUAAUACGGAGGGUGCAAGCGUUGUUCGGAAUUAUUGGGCGUAAAGGGCGCGUAGGCGGGUUCUUAAGUCUGAUGUGAAAUCCCCGGGCUUAACCUGGGAACUGCGUUUGAAACUGCUAAGCUAGAGUUCGGCAGAGGAAGGUGGAAUUCCGCGUGUAGCGGUGAAAUGCGUAGAGAUGCGGAAGAACACUAAUGGCGAAGGCAUCCUUCUGGGCCGAUACUGACGCUGAGUCACGAAAGCGUGGGGAGCAAACAGGAUUAGAUA
rnacentral:rRNA from 1 species